rnacentral:rRNA from 1 species
CUGAACCAGCCAAGUAGCGUGAAGGAUGAAGGCUCUAUGGGUCGUAAACUUCUUUUAUAUAAGAAUAAAGUGCAGUAUGUAUACUGUUUUGUAUGUAUUAUAUGAAUAAGGAUCGGCUAACUCCGUGCCAGCAGCCGCGGUAAUACGGAGGAUCCGAGCGUUAUCCGGAUUUAUUGGGUUUAAAGGGAGCGUAGGUGGACAGUUAAGUCAGUUGUGAAAGUUUGCGG